UACGGGGGGGGCAAGCGUUGUUCGGAAUUACUGGGCGUAAAGGGCUCGUAGGCGGCCAACUAAGUCGGAUGUGAAAUCCCCAGGCUUAACCUGGGAACUGCAUCCGAUACUGGAUGGCUUGAAUCCGGGAGAGGGAUGCAGAAUUCCAGGUGUAGCGGUGAAAUGCGUAGAUAUCUGGAGGAAUACCGGUGGCGAAGGCGGCAUCCUGGACCGGCAUUGACGCUGAUGAGCGAGAGCUAGGGGAGCAAACGGG
rnacentral:rRNA from 1 species